CAUGCUUGAGGGUGAAAUAACAAAGAAACUUACAUAAUUAGCUGUAGUUUGCGUUUGAACUGCGGCAAAUGAACACGAACUUGGACUUUAACAAGCUCUGUGUUCUCCUGAGAAACCAAGUCAAGGCCUCAUCAGAGGUGGACUGAAGAGAAAGCUGUUAAAGGGUCACUUUUGGGUCCAUGUGUGUCAGAGGUCAUUGAACAGAUCAGAUUAAUCAAUACAGGGGGAGUCUUUCAUCAGUCUUUUCUUCCUACCACGUUGUCUGCUGCACGUGUGCAUGGCGCCAGUUGCCGUGUCUGAAGGCCAUCAAACACCUGCGUGACGCACCUUGUCCAAAAAUCGAGCACUGUUCAAUUUCUUGUGCCAUUUUGCCAUCAUUACAUUAAAUUCAGCAAAUCUAAUUAUCCUAGCCUUUCUCAGCUCAUAGCUUUCAGCAUGGAAACAGCCAGUUCGUGAAGAGAUUCUACACUGAUUGCAAUGUGUUAAGUGAUGCUAAAUGCUUUUCCAUGUGAUUUAGUGUAAAUUUAUAUUAUAUUCAAUUUGAGUGUAAUGUAAAAAUGAACCUGGCAGUUGUCGGUUCUCUCUGCUGGCGUUCUU